rnacentral:lncRNA from 1 species
UGGGCUAGGCUGAGUUUGCGUGGUACUAUAGCGACCAAACUUUAGUACCACAUUGGAAGUUGAAGAAGAGUUGAACCAGGUUAAAAGCCUGAACCUAGGAGGCUGUUUAACUCCGGAUCGAUCCUUUUGCAUGAAGCAAGGAUAAAAGCGCAAGAGAGUUAAUUAGCAGGUGUGGUUCAUUCAACGUGUCGAGUGAGCCUUAGCCGUCAUCCUAGGUCGAUGCAUUACAAAUGGUAAUCAAAGCCAACUCUCGUGGUUUCACGGUUACAUAUGGUCUCGGAGGUUGGACAGGUUCUUGUGAGGGCAUGACACUGAAAAUAUGAACGUGGCCAAGAGAGUCGGCCGUGGCCAAGAGAGUCAGUCCUUGGUUCAGCGUUCGAUGAGGAUUUCAAAUUUCCUAAAUUGGGGGAGUAUGUGAGAUCCAAUGAAACGAGGCCCAAUACUACAACGGUUGUGGGCUAGGGUGAGUUUGCGUGGUACUGUAGCGAUCAAACUUUAGUACCACAUUAGAAGUUAAAGAAGAGCUAAACCAAGUUAAAAGUCUGAACUUGGGCGGUUGUUAACUCCGGAUCGAUCCUUUUGCACGAAGCGAGGACGAAAAUGCAAGAGAGUUAAUUAGUAGGUGAGGUUCAUUCAACGUUUAGAGUGAGCCUUAGCCAUUAUCCUAGGGACGUUACAAUCUAUCUCUUUUUGUAGUUUGUUAAUUAAUCCUCAUUACUUUUUAAUACUUUUUUAUUUUUAGAGCUCAUUAGUUUUUUAUACUUUUUUAUUUCUAGGGAUAGCGUCACUCGCACUUGUGUAACACCCUAAAAUUUGCUCCUUUCAAAAUAGAUGAAAAUUGAUUUAGUUUUGUAUUUUUUGUGUUCACCAAAAUAUAGGAAAAAUAAUAUUUUUCAUUAGAUUAAAGUUUAUCAUAAGGCUUAGCAACAUGGUUGUGUAUACAUGCUGGUGCAUAUGAUUUCGGGUGAUGUCUGCUUAUUGCUCCUUUGUGUGUUGAUAGUAAGAAAAAUAUUUAAAAUACGUUUAGUAGAUCGAUCUUCCUUUUUCGCCACGUAUUUAUCUUUUUCUACAAUCAAAUUCCUUGUCUCUUAGCUCAAGAUUUCGGUCACUCAGAACUUUCAAACCUAAGUCACUCGUUUAAGUUUCUCAUCCAUCAAGCAAUCUCUACAAACUUCUCGGGUAUUUAUCUAGUCUUUUCUAUGAGCAUAAAUCUAAUUUUUAGAUGCCCCAAAUUAUCUCAUCAUGAGCUCCAAAUACUUUAUUUGGGUUCUUCAUAUUCCGUAAUGUCUCUGAUAAUUUUCUCUAAAUUUUUGGAGCUUCCAAAGUAUUUUUUCGCGCUUUAAAUAAUAAUUCUAGACUUUUCUAGUAUUAUUUUGUCUACAAAAUUAAUUAAUUUCGAAAAUAAUAAAUCCUUCAUUUUACUCUAACCCAACGUCAUCAUGGUUCAAAGGUCAAAUGUUUUUUUACUAAUGGGCUUUAAUAAUUAAUUAGGCCUAUUAGUAAAGAUGAAGGUUGC